GCCAACUCGCUGACAGUUCCGAGUGUGCGGACAGCUCAGGACUCCGGAACUAGUGAGCACCAUGAAAUAAAAACACCAUACAAUUCAACAGUUUUGUAGAAAUCCUGUCAAAGAGUAUGAAGAAAAACAGAGAAAGAUUCGGCCACAGAGAGCGGGAAUUUGUGUAUAAAUUCAAAGUAGGAAGUCAGUGUUUAGAACUGAGGGUGCCACUCCAAUUUCCUGUUCAAGAGAAUGCCAGUCAUUUGCAUGGACGCCUGAUGCUGCUGCACAAUUUACCGUGCUUUAUAG